AAGUCGUAACAAGGUCUCCGUAGGUGAACCUGCGGAGGGAUCAUUACAAGUGACCCCGGUCUAACCACCGGGAUGUUCAUAACCCUUUGUUGUCCGACUCUGUUGCCUCCGGGGCGACCCUGCCUUCGGGCGGGGGCUCCGGGUGGACACUUCAAACUCUUGCGUAACUUUGCAGUCUGAGUAAACUUAAUUAAUAAAUUAAAACUUUUAACAACGGAUCUCUUGGUUCUGGCAUCGAUGAAGAACGCAGCGAAAUGCGAUAAGUAACGUGAAUUGCAGAAUUCAGUGAAUCAUCGAAUCUUUGAACGCACAUUGCGCCCCCUGGUAUUCCGGGGGGCAUGCCUGUUCGAGCGUCAUUUCACCACUCAAGCCUCGCUUGGUAUUGGGCAACGCGGUCCGCCGCGUGCCUCAAAUCGACCGGCUGGGUCUUCUGUCCCCUAAGCGUUGUGGAAACUAUUCGCUAAAGGGUGUUCGGGAGGCUACGCCGUAAAACAACCCCAUUUCUAAGGUUGACCUCGGAUCAGGUAGGGAUACCCGCUGAACUUAA
rnacentral:rRNA from 1 species